UUUUUUAUUUCUUACCUCUGAGAUAAUCCACAGUGGCAUUCAGAUUUCAGUACAAGCUAUCAUCUUACUGCUUUACAGAUGGUGUCGCAGCAUAAAGUAGACGCCCUUCAGGAAGAGACCAUUUAUAUGAAUGUUUAGUGGAACAAUUUAUUUGCUGGGUAACAUGAAACACACUUUGGUAAGGAAGUGUAUUAUUUUAUAGACCGCAUGUGAGUUCAUCCUAUCUGUCAAAUAGAUUUUGAAUUUUUUACCAGCUCAUCCAGAUAUCGUUGCUUUUAGAAAUGUGGCCAAACCUGUUUCAUCACAUAACCAACAGCAUUCCUAACAUGCAAGCAAACAUGAAAUGAAAACAAUUUAAAACACUUGUACUGAAAACAGUCGCUCAUUCCGAUAGGUAUCGAGAAGAGACAAUAAGCUGCGGUUGGUCCAUUGAAGGGAUGUGAUAAGAUUUUAGAGUUUAAGGGACAUUGUGAUAUUUGAGGCCCACUUCUUGCUCUGUUGUGCUUUUGUCCUUGUGGGAGGAUCAUUCCACAGGAGGUUGUCUCAGUCAGGACAGCAACAGGAAAUUUUUGAAGAAAGUUGUUCUGGAGGACAAACUGAAAAAGGAAUACCGUGGUAAUCCACCAUGACUUCUUGUUCAAACAGUACAAUCCAUGUGGAAAUGAACAAAAGGAAAAUGGCGAACCCAAAAUCUAAACAGAGAAAACAGUGUCCAUGCCGAGAGUGCCAGGACCAGCAAAGAAUGAGUCAGACUUUGCAGGAACUUCUUCAUCAAAAGGACUUGCAGAUCCAAGAACUGAAAAAUAAUCUCCAGACUCAAGAAGAUAUUAACAAAAAACUUGCAGAGAUUAUUCAGAACAUCGCAUCAAAGCAAGUUUCCUGGACUGAAGUCGGGCAACGUAGACUUUUUGACCUCACAACGCAUAUUCCAGAAAAGAAAGCAGAAACAGAAAACCAAAAGGCUAAUUACGACUCCGCCAGACACGUCUCCAAAGCCAAGGAAGCAGACACACUGAAACGGGAUGUUAUAACAGAGCCAGAGGCUACGAUCCUACACAUGCAAGAAGACUCACCUUGCGGAACGACGAUGAAUGGAGAUGCCUUGAUGGCAGGCCAGCCUGCAUUCAUUAACCCCAUCCGGUCACCCGGAGUCAGAGUUGCCCAGUCAACGAAGAAGGACCAUCAAAGAACCACGCGACCACAUCUACUCAAAGAGUGUCCUGUGUGCUUCCUUUUAUUCCCAGAAAAUAUUUAUGCAUUAGAAAUAAAUCGUCACAUCAAUAGACACUUUUCUGAUAUGAACUGAGCGAACAUCCUCAUAAUAAUGUAUGGCAUUCAAGGACAGAUUACCUAUCAUGAUUAUGUGACAAUGUAUCGUUUAAAUGUUUUGAGUUUUUACAAACAGUUUGCAUCGAGGUAGUUUGCUUUGUUGCAAAUCUCCUGCACAGUAAUUAUACAAAAAAUAAAUAAAUAUCCCCCGAUUAAUCGAAAGCGAGCUGUACGAUUUCCAAAAAAAUAUUUACACAUGUCCAUUGUCAAUAGCAACUGCUUUUGGGUCUGCUUUACAUCGUCACGUUCAAGCAUUCGGGCUUUCCCCUGAGCUUGGUUUGGGUGUUGUUGCUCAUGCUUCAUUCAAACUUGCAAGUGCUUUGGUGAGGUCAUCCUCAGUUUUUGCCCCACCUGGCCACCUUGAGCAUAACAAACUGUAUGUCGAGGUGACCAGCACCAGUUCUCACUGAGACCAGGCUGGGUUUCAAAGCCUGUGGGACUUUUGUUAUACCAACGUGAAGCGUAUAUUGCUCUCAUUAAAUGACCUUUUCCCUCAAGCAGUGAAUAAAAGAUUCAACCACUCCAUCUAAGUGUACUCCAGAACUCAAUACAACUGCACACAUGCUGACCAAGGACUUUUUCUGAAGUUUUCUUGUGCAUUGUCUUUACGAUAGAUAGUUACCUCCAGCACCAAAGGUCGAUGGAGGAUAUGUUUUCAGCUUGUUUGUCUAUCUGUCUGUCUAUCUGUAAGCAGGAUAUCUCAAAAAGUU
rnacentral:lncRNA from 1 species